rnacentral:rRNA from 1 species
UACGUAGGGUACAAGCGUUAUCCGGAAUCACUGGGCGUAAAGCGUGCGUAGGUGGUCUGUUAAGUGAGAUGUGAAAGCGUGUGGCUCAACCAUAUCGUUGUGUUUCAUACUGGCAGACUAGAGGACAGCAGAGGCAAGUGGAAUUACGAGUGUAGCGGUAAUAUGCGUAGAUAUUCGUAGGAACACCAAUGGCGAAGGCAGCUUGCUGGGCUACUCCUGACACUGAGGUACGAAAGCGUGGGGAGCGAACAGG